rnacentral:rRNA from 1 species
CGUAGGGUGCGAGCGCUAAUCGGAAUUACUGGGCGUAAAGCGUGCGCAGGCGGUUUUGUAAGACAGAUGUGAAAUCCCCGGGCUCAACCUGGGACCUGCAUUUGUGACUGCAAGGCUAGAGUACGGUAGAGGGGGAUGGAAUUCCGCGUGUAGCAGUGAAAUGCGUAGAUAUGCGGAGGAACACCGAUGGCGAAGGCAAUCCCCUGGACCUGUACUGACGCUCAUGCACGAAAGCGUGGGGAGCAAACAGGAUUAGAUACCCUGGUAGUCCACGCCCUAAACGAUGUCAACUGGUUGUUGGGUCUUUACUGACUCAGUAACGAAGCUAACGCGUGAAGUUGACCGCCUGGGGAGUACGGCCGCAAGGUUG